AACCCGGCGCUCCUAAGCGCCACCCACUCACCACAUUCGUCUCAAU
rfam:Pristionchus pacificus strain PS312 contig13795, whole genome shotgun sequence.